rnacentral:rRNA from 1 species
GAUGAACGCUGGCGGCGUGCCUAAUACAUGCCAGUCGAGCGAACGGACGAGAAGCUUGCUUCUCUGAUGUUAGCGGCGGACGGGUGAGUAACACGUGGAUAACCUACCUAUAAGACUGGGAUAACUUCGGGAAACCGGAGCUAAUACCGGAUAAUAUUUUGAACCGCAUGGUUCAAUAGUGAAAGACGGUCUUGCUGUCACUUAUAGAUGGAUCCGCGCUGCAUUAGCUAGUUGGUAAGGUAACGGCUUACCAAGGCAACGAUGCAUAGCCGACCUGAGAGGGUGAUCGGCCACACUGGAACUGAGACACGGUCCAGACUCCUACGGGAGGCAGCAGUAGGGAAUCUUCCGCAAUGGGCGAAAGCCUGACGGAGCAACGCCGCGUGAGUGAUGAAGGUCUUCGGAUCGUAAAACUCUGUUAUUAGGGAAGAACAAAUGUGUAAGUAACUGUGCACAUCUUGACGGUACCUAAUCAGAAAGCCACGGCUAACUACGUG